AUCAGCUGAUGCCUUUGAUUUUAGUGCAGUGACCUUGUUGAAAGUUUAUACUUUGCUGCAGCAUUCUCAAUAAUAACAGAACACCACCAGUAUGUUGUGUAUCACGGAGAUGAAGUCUAGAAGGUUCUGGCUCCUCGUGAUAGCACUGCGGGGACAGUCCUCUCCUGGGGCCACAAACCUACCUGACACCUGACUCCCCCAGCUUCAAGACUGAAUCAGUGUGCUGCAUCCACGAGGACUGCAUUUGUGUAUCAAGAAGAAGAAUUAUGAAACUUUGGAUUUUGAAGAGUGCAAGAUUAAAUUUUUUUGUAUUUAAUAAUCAUUGAGUUUUCAGUUACGAAGGCUUAAAGUUAUUUGCUGAAUCUCACCUGUAUUUCGUACAUGAAGUUUGUGUUCACAAACCAGCCAAAAAGAUUUUAUUAUUUCUAUUUUGACUUAAAGAAAUGCCUUUUUAUUGUUUUCAUUGCAAGAGAUUAUACAAAGACGAAACCAAUAAAUAUUGAAUUAUGUUUGUA